AACGAACGCUGGCGGCAUGCCUAACACAUGCAAGUCGAACGAGACCUUCGGGUCUAGUGGCGCACGGGUGCGUAACGCGUGGGAACCUGCCCUUAGGUUCGGAAUAACUCCCCUAAAGGGGUGCUAAUACCGGAUAAUGUCUUCUGACCAAAGAUUUAUCGCCUUUGGAUGGGCCCGCGUUGGAUUAGCUAGUUGGUAGGGUAAAAGCCUAUCAAGGCGUGGUUCCAUAGCUGGUAUGAGAGGAUGAGCAGCCACACUGGGACUGAGACACGGCCCAGAAUACUACGGGAGGCAGGAGUGGGGAAUAUUGGAAAAUGGGGGAAAGCAUGAUGCAGCAAUGCCGGGUGAGUGAUGAAGGCGUGAGGGUUGUAAAGCUCUUUUACCCGGGAUGAUAAUGACAGUACCGGGAGAAUAAGCUCCGGCUAACUCCGUG
rnacentral:rRNA from 1 species